CUCUUUAUUUUCGAUGCUGUAUAUAGCAUAACGGUAUCCGUAGUAAAAUAUGCUCGCUGCCCAAUAGUUUCUUUGAUGCCUGCGGGGUGUCAUUUCUUAAGAAAAAAAAAUAUUGAUUCGCGUUCGUACGACAAGGGCCUAAUAAUGAUGAAGAAUUGCUAUAAUAGUACAUUUUUACAAUAUUGUGCGACAAAAAAUACUUGUAUGAGCAAAAUAUUUAGAGUUUAUUUGUAAAAUGUCGUAGUCGGAAAACGGUGUUGUGUUUGUUUUCGGUGUUUCGGUGGUAACGAUGGCCAACUCUCCUACGAGUAUAGAGACGCAAAUAGACAGCUUCUUGGAACAAUUCAAGAGAAGUGCUUCGAAAGCUAUGGAAGAACGUAUGGAGUGGCCUGACGGUCCAUCUCCAGGUGCAAUCGUUAAAUCACGAAGCAGCUGUUUUACACUAGAUUCUUCUUCUGGUGAAGCGGAGUGCGAUGGGUGCGGCAGCGACGGCGAGGACGGUCGCAGCGUGGGCGAGUUGCUGCUCCCGCAGUACGCGCUGGCGACGGGCGGGCUGGCGCGCGACCAUCGCCCACUCAUCACAUUCCCCGACAACAACAACUUCCACGUACUAUCCGCCGCCGAGUAUCGCCGCCUCCUUCUCUACCUCACCUCUGUGCCCUCUAUAUUAGAAGCUGAAAUGGGAUUCCAUAUAAUAAUAGAUCGAAGAAAAGAUAGGUGGAAUUCUGUUAAGGCUGUCCUACUUCGAAUAUCGGAGUUUUUUCCGGGUAUUAUUCACGCUGUAUAUGUACUACGACCAGCAAGUUUUCUCCAAAAAGCCUUAUCCGAAGUUAGCAAUAAACUGUUCAAAGAGGAGUUUCGUUUCCGAGUUCUGGUUUGUUCCUGCGUGGAGGAGUUGUACGAACACUUCGACAGGUCUCAACUUACGCCGGACCUUGGCGGAGAACUGCAGUAUUCACAUUCAGAGUGGAUUCAACAGCGAAUUGCGUUGGAGAAGUUUUCAACGUUGAUGAAAGAGAUAUCGAGUAAACUGGAUGACUUCAUGCACGAAAUAGUGGACUGCGACAUGGGAAAUGAUCCCACACAAACCAAAGAAUUAUUAGAAUGUCAAGAAUCUAGAUAUAAAGCUUUAAAAACUGAACUAUCGUCGGCAACUACUCAAGGAGAGGAGCUGCUGACACAAGUGCGAAAACCAAAUCUUACUUAUAACAUUAUAAGCCAUGUAGCGGCUGUUGAAAGAUUAUUGGUGCAACUUGAAGAGACUGAAAAACAAUUCGACAGUUUCUGGCAAAAACACUCAAUGAAAUUAAACCAUUGGUUGAUGUUUCGAACAUUUUUAUUAAACUUUAAACAAAUGCAGGCUACUUUAGAUUCUCAUUUAAAGAACGCGUGCGAUAUGACCGAAGUAGGUGAAACAGCAGUUAGAGUCGACGGCCUUAUACAAGAAGCAAAUGAAUUUGAAAAACUAUGUAACUGUGAUUUAGAUGCCGCUUUAUCAGUGAUCGAAGAAGGUGAAAAAUUAAUGAAAGAUCCAUUGAGCUCCGUGGACCAUAUAGAAUCAAAAUGCGAAGAAUUGAGGCGAACGAGUUCAUUAUUGAUAGAAAAAAUACAAAAACGAAGUAUGUUAUUAAUAAAAGCAAGAGAACUAAUGGACAGGAUAGAUAAGGCAAACGAAUGGUGCGCGACGGGCGUGGAGAUCCUAGCGGGCGAGGGCGGGCUGCUCGCCGUGGACAAGCUGCUGGACGACGCCAAGAGCUUCGGCCUCGACGCGCCCGAGCCCUUCCGCGACAUGCUGCUGCACUCCGCCACGCAGGAGACGCGCGCACUCGUCACGCAGGUGUGCCAGCGCGUGGAGGACGUGUGGCUGAUGGUGUCGGUGAAGCGCGCGUCGCUGCAGCGCGCGGCGGCGCGGCCCGCGCGCCCCGUGCACGCCGUGCCGCCGCACGUGGCCGCCUCGCAGAUGGAAACAUCAGGAGGUUCAGAAAGCUCAGGGGGAGAGGACGCAGAGGCGCGGCGCUCACGGCGCGGCCACGUGCUCGCUGAGCUGCUGCAAACUGAAAGGGCUUACGUGCAAGAACUUGGAUCAAUACUCUCUGGCUAUAAAGAAGAAAUCGAAAAACCAGAAAAUCAACACGCCCUACCAGCAGCCUUAGUUGGACAAACGGAAGUAUUAUUUGGAAAUUUACACGAACUAUUUACAUUCCAUCAAGAAAUUUUCUUAAAAGACUUGGAGAGAUCAAUUUCAGCUACCGAACUCGUCGCAUUAUGUUUUGUUGAAAAGAGGGAGACGUUUUUCCGCCUAUACAGCUACUACUGCCAAAACAUCCCGCGGUCGGAAAGGCUACGAGAGACGUUAGUGGACACUCACCUAUUUCUGCAAGCUUGCCAGCAACGUCUUGGACACAAAUUACCUUUGGCCGCCUAUCUCCUGAAACCAGUGCAGAGAAUCACAAAAUAUCAACUGUUACUUAAGGAUUUACUACGUUAUAGUGAAUGCGGUUCAAUGAGCUCUGGCUUGCAACAAGCGCUUGACUGCAUGCUAGUCGUUCUUAAGUGUGUCAACGAUUCAAUGCAUCAGAUAGCCAUUACUGGAGUUCCUGUGGAUUUGAGUCAACAAGGCGAGCUGCUACUGCAGAGUUCAUUUCUCGUAGUGUCAGAGAACAAACGUGAUCUCCGACUGAGGAUACGGCCGAGACGUCGGCAUAUUUUUCUUUACGAAAAAGCAAUGCUCUUUUGCAAAUCCGCUACAAAGAAUAGUCAUAACAAAGCAACCUAUCACUUCAAACAUGAUCUCCAAAUGUCACAAAUUGGGCUGACGGAGUCGGUUAAGGGCGACCUGCGUAAGUUCGAGGUGUGGCGUCAGGGCCGCGCAGAAGUACACACCAUCACCGCGCCCACCGCUGACAUCAAGCGUGUGUGGGUGGAGCGCAUCAAGCGCGUGCUGCUCGACCAGCUCAACGAGCUCAAGGGCGAGCGCGUGCGACAGUACGGCGCGCAGCAUCGGACGCUGAUCCAGGCGAGCUCGUGGGAGCUGGGCGCGGGCGCGGCGGCGCGGCCGGGCGCGGCGCCCGCGCGCGCGGCCUCGUGCGACGCGCACGACGAGCCCUGCUGGUCCACCGACCCCUCGGACGACGACGACGACGAGCCCGAACACGCACCGGUGACGGAGGCCGUCGGUCUCAACGGUACCAUACACAGAAUGGUACAAUUCUUUUCAGUAUCGGGCUCGACACAAGCCACCUCCACAUUUUACGUAUCACAGUACUGAUAAAAUUUCUCUACGGCUAAACCGGUAGAGGCUUUGUAAAUACUAUGAAAGAGACUGAUUUCAUAUCCAAAGUUUAAAGUAACCAAAGACAACGACGUAACGUGGAUAUUUCAGUUGUAUUCGCAGAACAUUAACUAUCGUGCGGUGGGGUGUGCGCUGGUGGCGCUGUCGGACUACACGGCGGUGGGCGCCAGCGAGGUAUCACUGCGUGAAGGACAGCACGCCGACCUGCUCAAGGUGGGCUGCGCCGGCUGGUGGUACGUCCGGCUCGCAGGUGGUCAAGGGGAGGGUUGGGCGCCAGCAGCUUACCUAGACCAGCGCAAAACUUCGCGCUCCUCAAGUCGCUCGCACGACCGUCUGCACGACCACUGAGCGGUCCGGCGCCACACGUGCGAUAUACUUAUAUUCAACCCUCAUAAAAGUCAUGUGACGUUCGGUAUAAAAGCUGUUCCAAUGAACGCUUGCAAAUUGAUAUAGCUGUUGAAGGAAAUGUUUCGAAAUGUCCUCUAGAACUACCCCAUAGGCGUAGUUGUGUUAGGAUAAUAUCGAUGUUUGAGUGCGCUAGAAAUGAAUGCAUUUAGGAUUUUGAUUGUCGUCUAAUGAAAGUGUCGUUUUAAAAAGUGUUGUUGCAGUGUCGGCUAUUAUUGUUCGGUUACGUUUUUCGAUGUAUUCUUUGAGUACUAUUCAUUGGUUGUGUUAAAAUAUUUGUCAAUCGUAUAUUUUUUUUUAAAGUAUUAAAAAAUAUAAUUACACUUAUUUUAUAUUAUGAUUUAAUUUGUAUGAAUAGAAUAUUGAUUAGCGCCCGCCACCCCACUUGUUAAUGUUAAUAUCGAACAAUAAUAAUGUUAGUAUUGUUCUAAAAAGCUUUAUUGUAAAUUAGUUUUAGAUAUAGAUCGUUAUCGUUACGAUAAUCCAAAGCUCUGUAUAGUGGCGUAGGACGUUGUUAAAGCAGCCGUGACUGUAUUUCUUUUGUAAAUAUAUAUUAUUAUUUUAAUUAUAGUUAUUUAUUCCGACGGUAGGUGUGCUUCGUCUCAAUUAUCCAUGACAAUUUCUGUGUUCGACAUGUCUUUGUGUACCCGUCAUUAUGUAUGUGUGUCAAUGUGGCAAGUUACAGUGUGAAUCCUGGUGCGUUUCCACUAAAUAAGUUGUUAAUGUCAGUUGCUAUUCUUUACAAAACCACACUUUUAAUAUUACUUAUUGUGUAUCUAUGUUUGUGAACGACUUCAUUUUUAUAAAGAAAUUUUAGUCAUCAACAGUAUUGACAACAUAAAAUUUUGGUGGGGACGCAUCUUUACAUAAUAUUAUCAAUAGAGCUGCUAUUUGUGAAACCAACAGAAUUUAAAGAAAUUGACAACCUCCCUGUCCAAACAGCAGAAACAAUGACCAUGAGUCAAGUGACUCGCAGGUCUCACCGGACAGGGAGAAGGAUAAAACACGAAAUUUAGAUUAAUAUUCAAACACUCUAAAAACAUUAUUCGACAGAUAACAAAACUAUGCUAUAUACAUAUAAUUAUAACACUUACUCUUGUUUAGGACUGUUAUAUUAAAACACAAUACCUAAUCGUUAUUGAGACAUUACAAUAUUGAGUUGAUUAUCAUUAAAAAAAAAUUGCAGGUUACUUCAAUUUCAAGUUUUGCACCGAAUGACUACUCCUCAUGAUAGCAGCAUCUAUUAAAUAAUGUUUAUUAUUUUCGUUUAUCAUAUUAUCGCAGAGUUUACACUCUGAUAUGCGUGUUUUAAUAAUGACAAAGCGUCAUCGUGUAUCGUUUUAUGUAACGAAAAUGCUGGUGCCUACGAUUGCUUUGCUACCUAUCUUAAGUAUUAAAUAAAUACUAGUCGCGAUUUUGUAUAACCCUCGUACCUAUAUAUAAUUGUCGUUGUCAUUUGAAUGUUAUAUAAUAACUAUAUCAUCUCAUUGCAUAUCAUCUCGACUUUGUCAUAAAACAUAUUGCCUUUUAUUUAAAUCUAUCUCCGUACAUCAUGUACCUGUCCGAAGCAUCUCAUUGAAAAAAAAAUAACGUUGUACCUACUGAGGUCAUUAUAACGCUGGCCACGAAUUACACACAUUUGUCCAUUU